rnacentral:antisense_RNA from 1 species
UGUGGGAGCGGGCUUGCCCGCGAUGACGGAGUGUCAGUCUAUGCAUCUUUGACUGACCUGCCGCCAUCGCGGGCAAGCCCGCUCCCACA